GAUGAAGAACGCAGCGAAAUGCGAUAAGUAAUGUGAAUUGCAGAAUUCAGUGAAUCAUCGAAUCUUUGAACGCACAUUGCGCCCCUUGGUAUUCCGAGGGGCAUGCCUGUUCGAGCGUCAUAUUAACCACUCCCUCUUGCGGGGUCUUGGGCUUCGCCUCCGGGCGGGCCUUAAAAUCAGUGGCGGUGCCGUCGGGCUCUACGCGUAGUAAAUUUUCUCGCGAUAGGGUCCCGGUGGAUGCUUGCCAACAACCCCCAACUUCUUAAGGUUGACCUCGGAUCAGGUAGGGAUACCCGCUGAACUUAAGCAUAUCAAUAAGCGGAGGA
rnacentral:misc_RNA from 1 species